rnacentral:rRNA from 2 species
UACGUAGGGAGCGAGCGUUGUCCGGAAUUACUGGGUGUAAAGGGAGCGUAGGCGGGAUGGCAAGUCAGAUGUGAAAACUAUGGGCUCAACCCAUAGACUGCAUUUGAAACUGUUGUUCUUGAGUGAGGUAGAGGUAAGCGGAAUUCCUGGUGUAGCGGUGAAAUGCGUAGAGAUCAGGAGGAACAUCGGUGGCGAAGGCGGCUUACUGGGCCUUUACUGACGCUGAGGCUCGAAAGCGUGGGGAGCAAACAGG